AGAAAAUAGAUACCCGGGUAGUCCUGGCCGUAAACGAUGUCGACUAGAUCGCAGUGCCUCUGAUGGUAUUGCGGUCGAAAGCAAAAGUGCUAAGUCGACCGCCUGGGAAGUACGGUCGCAAGGCUAAAACUCAAAGAAAUUGACGGGGGCUCACACAAGCGGUGGAGCAUGUGGUUCAAUUCGAAGCAACGCGCAGAACCUUACCUGGGCUUGACAUGCCAGGAUUAUCCCUAUGAAAGUAGGGUAGGCCCUCGGGUACGAACUGGUACAGGUGCUGCAUGGCUGUCGUCAGCUCGUGUCGUGAGAUGUC
rnacentral:rRNA from 1 species